rnacentral:lncRNA from 1 species
CAGACGAUGCACUGUCUCAGGUCACGCUUAGCCUCCUACGGGGGCACGACAGAAGAAGAGGAACAUUUAGAGAGGCACAGCUCCUACAUCCUUGGAUGGGGAGAGUGGGGAGCAAACAGGCCAGUUCACACUUCUUUCCUCUGUGAAGCCUUCCUUCUCCCAGCAUUCCCUCCCCUCACCCUACUGUGUUGUGGCCACCACUCUGCCUGGGACUACAGCCAUUUGUCCUUCUGCCUCUCCUCUGCCUGAGAGCAAGGUGAGAGGAUCCCGUUCCUGUUCUCCAUCUCCUGCC